AGCUAAUACCGGAUAAUAUAUUGAACUGCAUGGUUCAAUAGUGAAAGACGGUUUUGCUGUCACUUAUAGAUGGAUCCGCGCCGCAUUAGCUAGUUGGUAAGGUAACGGCUUACCAAGGCAACGAUGCGUAGCCGACCUGAGAGGGUGAUCGGCCACACUGGAACUGAGACACGGUCCAG
rnacentral:rRNA from 1 species